rnacentral:lncRNA from 1 species
GACAAAGGCUCGCCAUUCUUUCGAGACUGUCUAAUCUUGAGGAUAUCGAUGGGCGUCACCUGAAAUGUGUGCUGCCUGCAUCAAGGAUCUUCCGCGCUCAUUUCCUCAAAGUAUCGUGAGCCUCGCUUGGUUGAAAAACACUUCGGGGGCAUCGGAGCUGUCUUGCAAACAGCUGUUUCGCACUGGACGACCGCAGGUGUCGUGAGCAGGCAUCAGCAUGGCAGACUUCGAAAUCCAGCCGGCAAGCGAAGUUCGGACCUUCAUAGAUCAUGGACCCAACUUCCUCAAACAACUGGCCCAAGACAGCGUCAGAGUCGAGCCCGCUUCGACGGGAUCAGGAUGGGUGUACACGGACGCGAACUUCAUAAUGGUUGCUAUGUGCGCUUGUGUUCUGGCAUUUAUGAUGGUCAUCACCGUGUUCAUUUACCACCGUGAGAAGAUUCGUCGUAUCGUCACCGGAGAGAACCGCAGAGUCGGCAGUGUAUACUAUGUGCGUCCUGGAAUCAGUGCCUUCCAACCGACAGAAAUUUAAAAUGUGAGUCCUCCCCCAAGCUAUCUGAGCUCUGCAUGCGAUUUGCCUAACAUCGAUCCGUCGGUGGAGGAAUGUGCCUCACGGGUAGAGAACAGCGAAAUAGUUCUUGUACUCGAUCAUCUUGCA